AGGGUACUGACAUAUGUCUUUAUUCCUCUUAAAGAUAGGAGAUUAUCUGUGGACUUUUCAGCUGCAAUUGACUGGUCCUUGAUUUUUGCUGCAAACGACUAGCCUUUGACUUUCUAUCACCAGCUGAUGUUUGCUUGCACUCAGACUGUCCAUCUAGUUAAAUACUCCAUAUGAAUUGAGGCUCUUCAGUGCCCAUGUUAUUGUCUUACUUAAUUCCCCUGUAUUCACCUUGAUUUUAUUACGCUUCAAGUCCUGUCAGUUGAACUUGGAUUUCAAUAUCCACCCUGAGGGGGUUUUUCCUUGACUGGCUGUGCAUGAAGCUAGGAGUAAUCUAGAGAGACGAUCUUGUCCUAAUUCCCCUGAAGAAGCCAAGAGGCGAAACUAGUAGGGUCGACCUGAUCGAAAAAAUUAUUUCUAGAUCUUGCUCCCACAAAAUAAUGU